UACGGGGGGAGCAAGCGUUGUUCGGAUUUACUGGGCGGAAAGGGCGCGUAGGCGGUCAGCACAAGUCAGUUGUGAAAUCUCCGGGCUUAACCCGGAACGGUCAACUGAUACUGUGCGACUAGAGUGCGGAAGGGGCAACUGGAAUUCUCGGUGUAGCGGUGAAAUGCGUAGAUAUCGAGAGGAACACCUGCGGCGAAGGCGGGUUGCUGGGCCGACACUGACGCUGAUGCGCGAAAGCCAGGGGAGCGAACGGG
rnacentral:rRNA from 1 species